rnacentral:rRNA from 1 species
AGGCGGUCUUUUAAGUCUGAUGUGAAAGCCCACGGCUUAACCGUGGAGGGUCAUUGGAAACUGGAGGACUUGAGUGCAGAAGAGGAGAGUGGAGUUCCAUGUGUAGCGGUGAAAUGCGUAGAGAUAUGGAGGAACACCAGUGGCGAAGGCGACUCUCUGGUCUGUAACUGACGCUGAGGAGCGAAAGCGUGGGUAGCGAACAGGAUUAGAUACCCUGGUAGUCCACGCCGUAAACGAUGAGUGCUAGGUGUUAGGGGGUUUCCGCCCCUUAGUGCUGAAGUUAACGCAUUAAGCACUCCGCCUGGGGAGUACGGCCGCAAGGCUGAAACUCAAAAGAAUUGACGGGGACCCGCACAAGCGGUGGAGCAUGUGGUUUAAUUCGAAGCAACGCGAAGAACCUUACCAGGUCUUGACAUCCUUUCGACCUCCCUAGAGAUAGGGAUUUCCCUUCGGGGACGAAAGUGACAGGUGGUGCAUGGUUGUCGUCAGCUCGUGUCGUGAGAUGUUGGGUUAAGUCCCGCAACGAGCGCAACCCUUGAUCUUAGUUGCCAGCAUUAAGUUGGGCACUCUAAGGUGACUGCCGGUGACAAACCGGAGGAAGGUGGGGAUGACGUCAAAUCAUCAUGCCCCUUAUAACCUGGGCUACACACGUGCUACAAUGGAUGGUACAAAGGGCAGCGAAACCGUGAGGUCAAGCAAAUCCCAUAAAACCAUUCUCAGUUCGGAUUGUAGGCUGCAACUCGCCUACAUGAAGCCGGAAUCGGCUAGUAAUCGCGGAUCAGAAUGCCGCGGUGAUACGUUCCCGGGUCUUGCACUCACCGCCCGUCA